rnacentral:rRNA from 1 species
GCAAAUCAAUAUAAAUUGAUUAUUAUUUAUUUAUUAAUUAAUUUGUUUUUAUAUUUAAUGUAUUAAAAAUAAUUAUAUAGGUUAUUGUUUUAGUAAUUUUUAAUGAAAAAAUAAUUUUAAUGAUAGUGUAUUAUGUAUUGUGAAAGAUGGUUGAAAUAAGUUGAAAAAUUUUUAUUGAAAAAGAAAAUUUAAUUGUUUGUACCUUGUGUAUCAGGGUUUAUCUAAUAAUUAAUAAUUAUUUAUUAAUCUCGAUUUUAUAAGAGUUAAUAAUUUAUGAAAGUUAAUGUGUCAAAAUUAUUUUAAAUAAAUUAUUAGAAAUGAAAUGUUAUUCGUUUAUGAAGGUAUCUAGUUUUUUUAGAAAUAAAUUUAAUUUACAGAUUUUUAAUUUUUUCUUUAAUUUUUUAGGGUAAAAACUUAUUAAUUUGAAUAUUUUAAGGGAUAAGCUUUAAAAUAAAAUUUUAUAAAUUAAUAAAUUAUUAUUUUAAAUAUAUGCAUAUAAUUAGCAAUUAUUUAUAAGUUUGUUAUAAAUUAUUUUAUGACUUAUAUUAUUUAUUUUAAUUUUAAAUUUAUAUAAAAAUUUUUUUUUUAAUUUUUGUUGAAAAUUAACAAUGAUAAAAUUAGCAUAUAUAUUAUGUGUGAAUAAUAUUAUAUGAUAGGUUUAUAUAAAGAACUCGGCAAAUUAAUAUAUUCGCCUGUUUAACAAAAACAUGUCUUUUUGAGUUAUUUUUAAAGUCUAACCUGCCCAAUGAAUAAAUUUUUAAUGGCUGCAGUAUUUUAACUGUACAAAGGUAGCAUAAUCAUUAGUCUUUUAAUUGAAGGCUGGUAUGAAUGGUUGGACGAAAUAUAUACUGUUUCAUAUAAAUUUAUUUCAGAAUUUUAUAAUUUAGUUAAAAAGCUAAAAUUGAAUUAAAAGACGAGAAGACCCUAUAAAUCUUUAUAUUUAAUAUUAUUUAAAUUUUUUAGGAAUAUUUUAUUUUUAUAAUGUUAAUUAUUUUGUUGGGGUGAUGUUAAAAUUUAAUAAACUUUUAAUUUUUUUUUAUCAUUAAUUUAUGAUUAAUUGAUCCAUUAAUAGUGAUUAUAAGAUUAAGUUACUUUAGGGAUAACAGCGUAAUUUUUUUGGAGAGUUCAUAUCGAUAAAAAAGUUUGCGACCUCGAUGUUGGAUUAAGAGAUAAUUUUAGGUGUAGAAGCUUAAAUAAUAAGUCUGUUCGACUUU